UACGAGGGGGGCGAGCGUUGUUCGGAAUUAUUGGGCGUAAAGGGUGCGUAGGCGGUUCGGUAAGUUUCGUGUGAAAUCUUCGGGCUCAACUCGAAGUCUGCACGAAAUACAGCCGGGCUUGAGUGUGGGAGAGGUGAGUGGAAUUUCCGGUGUAGCGGUGAAAUGCGUAGAUAUCGGAAGGAACACCUGUGGCGAAAGCGGCUCACUGGACCACAACUGACGCUGAGGCACGAAAGCUAGGGGAGCAAACGGG
rnacentral:rRNA from 1 species